AUUGAACGCUGGCGGCAGGCCUAACACAUGCAAGUCGAGCGGAUGAAGGGAGCUUGCUCCUGGAUUCAGCGGCGGACGGGUGAGUAAUGCCUAGGAAUCUGCCUGGUAGUGGGGGAUAACGUCCGGAAACGGGCGCUAAUACCGCAUACGUCCUGAGGGAGAAAGUGGGGGAUCUUCGGACCUCACGCUAUCAGAUGAGCCUAGGUCGGAUUAGCUAGUUGGUGGGGUAAAGGCCUACCAAAGCGACGAUCCGUAACUGGUCUGAGAGGAUGAUCAGUCACACUGGAACUGAGACACGGUCCAGACUCCUACGGGAGGCAGCAGUGGGGAAUAUUGGACAAUGGGCGAAAGCCUGAUCCAGCCAUGCCGCGUGUGUGAAGAAGGUCUUCGGAUUGUAAAGCACUUUAAGUUGGGAGGAAGGGCAGUAAGUUAAUACCUUGCUGCUUUGACGUUACCAACAGAAUAAGCACCGGCUAACUUCGUG
rnacentral:rRNA from 1 species